rnacentral:rRNA from 1 species
GACGAACGCUGGCGGCGUGCUUAACACAUGCAAGUCGAACGGAAAGGCUCCAGCUUGCUGGAGUACUCGAGUGGCGAAAGGGUGAGUAACACGUGGGUAAUCUGCCCUGCACUCUGGGAUAAGCCUGGGAAACUGGGUCUAAUACUGGAUAUGACCUUUCUCCUUAUGGGGUUUGGUGGAAAGUUUUUCGGUGUAGGAUGAGCCCGCGGCCUAUCAGCUUGUUGGUGGGGUGAUGGCCUACCAAGGCGACGACGGGUAGCCGGCCUGAGAGGGUGAUCGGCCACAUUGGGACUGAGAUACGGCCCAGACUCCUACGGGAGGCAGCAGUGGGGAAUAUUGCACAAUGGGCGGAAGCCUGAUGCAGCGACGCCGCGUGAGGGAUGACGGCCUUCGGGUUGUAAACCUCUUUCAGCAGGGACGAAGCGUAAGUGACGGUACCUGCAGAAGAAGCACCGGCUAACUACGUG